CAAUGGAGAGUUUGAUCCUGGCUCAGGACGAACGCUGGCGGCGUGCUUAACACAUGCAAGUCAAGGGGAAUCUUCAAUUCGUUGAAGUAGUACACUGGCGAACGGGUGAGUA
rnacentral:rRNA from 1 species